AGUGGGUGUAACGUACCUACUAGCCUACGACGGGUACGGGUUGUGAGAGCAAGAGCCCGGAGAUGGAUUCUGAGACACGAAUCCAGGCCCUACGGGGUGCAGCAGGCGCGAAAACUUUACAAUGCGGGGAACCGUGAUAAGGGAAUCUCGAGUGCCAGCAUAUAAUGUUGGCUGUCCAGAUGCCUAAAAAGCAUCUGUUAGCAAGGGCCGGGCAAGACCGGUGCCAGCCGCCGCGGUAACACCGGCGGCCCGAGUGGUAACCGUUAUUAUUGGGUCUAAAGGGUCUGUAGCCGGCCAUGUAAGUCCCUUGGGAAAUCUGGCAGCUCAACUGUCAGGCUGCUAGGGGAUACUGCUUGGCUUGGGACCGGGAGAGGUGAGAGGUACCUUGAGGGUAGGGGUGAAAUCUUGUGAUCCUCGGGGGACCACCAGUGGCGAAGGCGUCUCACCAGAACGGAUCCGACGGUAAGGGACGAAAGCUAGGGGCACGAACCGGAUUAGAU
rnacentral:rRNA from 1 species